GACGUAGGGGGCCAGCGUUGCUCGGAAUUACUGGGCGUAAAGCGCACGUAGGCGGCUCUUUAAGUCGGGGGUGAAAUCCUGGAGCUCAACUCCAGAACUGCCUUCGAUACUGAAGAGCUUGAGUCCGGGAGAGGUGAGUGGAACUGCGAGUGUAGAGGUGAAAUUCGUAGAUAUUCGCAAGAACACCAGUGGCGAAGGCGGCUCACUGGCCCGGUACUGACGCUGAGGUGCGAAAGCGUGGGGAGCAAACAGG
rnacentral:rRNA from 1 species